GCAGGACAGAGGCAGGACAGAGGCAGGACAGAGGCAGAACAGAGGCAGAACAGAGGCAGGACAGAGGCAGGACAGAGGCAGGACAGAUCUUCAUGAACAAGGCUACCGUGACCAAACUAAAGCUGGAGAAAACAAUAAGAGAGGCAGGACAGAGGCAGGACAGAGGCAGAACAGAGGCAGGACAGAGGCAGGACAGAGGCAGGACAGAGGCAGGACAGAGGCAGGACAGAGGCAGGACAGAGGCAGGACAGGAAUACUCCCCACCGCCCCGCUGCUGUGUGAGACUCAACCCAGAGGACCCCAGAGGUGACUAUACACAGAUCUACC
ensembl:lncRNA